GUGGGGAAUAUUGGACAAUGGGCGAAAGCCUGAUCCAGCCAUGCCGCGUGUGUGAAGAAGGUCUUCGGAUUGUAAAGCACUUUAAGUUGGGAGGAAGGGUAGUAACCUAAUACGUUGCUACUUUGACGUUACCGACAGAAUAAGCACCGGCUAACUUCGUGCCAGCAGCCGCGGUAAUACGAAGGGUGCAAGCGUUAAUCGGAAUUACUGGGCGUAAAGCGCGCGUAGGUGGUUCAGUAAGUUGGAAGUGAAAUCCCCGGGCUCAACCUGGGAGCUGCUUUCAAAACUGCUGAGCUAGAGUACGGUAGAGGGUGGUGGAAUUUCCUGUGUAGCGGUGAAAUGCGUAGAUAUAGGAAGGAACACCAGUGGCGAAGGCGACCACCUGGACUGAUACUGACACUGAGGUGCGAAAGCGUGGGGAGCAAACAGGAUUAGAAACCUCAGUAGUCC
rnacentral:rRNA from 1 species